rnacentral:tRNA from 1 species
GUCUCCGUGGCGCAAUUGGUUAGCGCGUUCGACUGUUAUAGUAUAUAUGCCAUCGAGAGGUUGACAGUUCAAUCCUGUCCGGGGACG